GCUGUCGAGAGGAUAAAGAAGAUGAUUUAAACAAGUAAUUUAUAAUUCAAGGUCUCGAAAGUUUCACAUAAAGAUGGCAGCACUGCAAUAAAUAGAGUACGCAUGUACCGUACGUAGCAGAGGCAGAGUCGUCUGCUUUAGAAGUAAACAGUGAGAAAAGGUACGAAGAUUUUAUUUUAAAAUCGAAUACACGUUGUUAUGACAAGUCCAGCGAAAUUAGAAUAUGAAUAAAAGUUUUAUUAUAAAUUCAACGAAGGAGGGAUUUCCUGCUUAAAGUGAAUAUUAUUACAAAUUGUGAAUAAAUGAAACGUUUUUCAAAAAAUUAUUUAAACAAAUGAAAAUAUACUCACUGGCAGACUGACCUGUUUUAGAAGAAAUAAGAAAGUAGAUUCAGAUGGGAUUUAAGGAAAAAAUUAUUUUUAUCAGCGGUUGUUGGUCAUGUUUAA